AACUCUGGAAAAUGAACAAAUGCUUGUUGAAAUGCAACUUCUUUCCAGCAGAUGGCUCAGAGUCUUCACCUCAUUGCACAGGCGCCAUCUGAAUGACAAGGCACAGCUGGUCUAGCGUGAUCAGCACCAAUAGGCCAAGCUGCUACUGGUCCAGCAACUCAUCCAAGGUGGUCAAACCUGCCAACACUGCAAACAAGGGACUCAUCAAGCUCUGAAUUUGUACCUUUCAACGGCAACGUCGAGGACCUGCUUCGAGCUUGUCGCAUUUGUCUCUUGGCCCAGCAGUUUGAGGAUCUCUGGCAGCACUCUUACUGCAAGCUGCGCUGCAUGCCGAGU